GACGUCGAUAUUCGACGUCAUAAACACGAUCAACUUUGGUGUUUAUGACGUCGAUAUUCGACGUCAUAAACACGAUCAACUUUGGUGUUCAUGACGUCGAGUAUCGACGUCAUAAUAUUCGUCUAAUAAUAUUCGUCAUAAUAAUAAUGGACGUCGAUAUUCUACGUCAUAAACACGAUUAACGUUGGUGUUUAUGACGUCGAUAUUCGACCUCAUAAACACGAUCAACUUUGGUGUUUAUGACGUCGAUAUUCGACGUC
rnacentral:miRNA from 1 species